UACGGAGGGGGCAAGCGUUAUUCGGAAUUACUGGGCGUAAAGCGCGUGUAGGCGGGAAGGUAAGUCUGGUGUGAAAGCCCUGGGCUCAACCUGGGAAGUGCAUUGGAUACUGCUUUUCUUGAGUUCUGGAGAGGAUGGGGGAAUUCCCGGUGUAGAGGUGAAAUUCGUAGAGAUCGGGAGGAAUAUCAGUGGCGAAAGCGCCCAGCUGGCCGGCAACUGCCGCUGAGACGCGAAAGCGUGGGGAGCAAACAGG
rnacentral:rRNA from 1 species